rnacentral:lncRNA from 1 species
ACGCGCGUCGAUCAACGUUCAUUUUACCUUCCAUUUACCCUUGAGCAGACUUUUUGGUUUGUAUUCAAGCCUCGAUUCAUUUUCUAAGCAACAAAUAAAGGUAAGAAUAUUGUCUAUUUCAUUAUGAAUGUGUCGUGUAACUUGUAGUUGCGUAUAAAGCAUCACAAGUUAUAAAAAUACACGAGUUUAUUACCCAUUCUGAAGGGCAGAUUGAAACUUGACCGUUUGAAUACGAAGCUACUUCCAUUAACAGAUUAUUUGAAAUUUUACUCGAUAUUCCUUCCAUUAUUACAGGUAGCGUUCGGGAAUAACAAAAUAUCGCCUCGCCAUUCACUGCAAGGCGUUCGUACUCGGCGAGGAAAGAAAAAUUACGCGCAAAAUUGAAUUUGAUUUCAAAAGGGUGUUGUCUCUGAUUCGAUUUCCUUGUGUCGUUUAGAUGUGACACGCAUUUGCUUGAGAAAAAGCUCAUCUAGCUUAGGGUUGAUAAGAAUAAGUGUAGUUUGAGUAAUUUUGCCGUAAUAUUGGCCAAAAUAUCGGCCUUUUUGAUAUCAACAUAGAGAUAAGAAUAAAAAAUCAUGAACAAAGCACAUGGGUCUGGCGAAUUCAGAAACGCAUUCCUCGUUCGGCUCUAUUGAGUCUGUUUUAUUGCGAACCACAGUGGGCCUUUAUAAUAAUGCUCAACAAUGUAGAAACGUUUUUGCUUAAUGAUUUAUAACAAGAUAUGGAAAUAAGGUUUAUGUUGAUGAAAUAGAACACAAUUAUCGUGUUUUUAUGUUGCAAGAACGAGUUCUAAUUUCUUCUAUGCGUUCUAAAUGUUUGACUUUUCGAAGAUUGCGACAACUCCUUGUCUGUGUUGUUUUUUCAUUUCCAUAGCGGCGAAGCCUUUAUUUGACUCGCCGUCGUUUACUAAAAGCAAAUAGAUGAUCCAUACUGACUGCUUUUGAAUAAUUACCUUUCGCGUUUUUAAUUGUAAUAGAGUUUUAAACUGGUCGUCGUUUUUUUGUGAGAUAUAUAUAUAUAUAUAUAUAAGUAUUUCUAGUCUAUACACUUCGUGUUGGGGCUAUCCGGCCUUCGCACAAGCAACCUAAAAGAGAAACUUUCUUUUUGUUUGGGAUUCAAAGAUUAAAACCGCGAUAUUAAGGCGUUUCCUUGGCCACAAGCCGUGCAUUAGUUGUAUUUAUUUAGCAGCCGCCGUGGUUGCUUCGAAGAAUGAUUGUUCUACAUUCAUAAAAAAAAUCUUACUGGAAAAGUCGUUUUAAAACGACAUUUUGCGAAUGUUUCUGCGUAAUGAUUUUGACUUUUGAACUUGCUUUCGAGGAGACCCACACCUGUCACAGGAAUUCGAUUUCAAACUCUCAUUUCAGACGAGGUGUCGAGUUUCAAAAGCGGAAAAAAAAUGAGUUUCGCUUCUGCUUUGGGUCGCAAAUGAUUCCCUUGGGGCGUCUUUGAACUAUCCAUGUUUACAGAGCGCAUCGGCUAAUUUUCACAAUGCAUCAAUAAUAUAAAUGGGUGGGCAAGGCAGGUGUUACCUAUGUUUUGGCAAAAGCUGAUUUAAAAUGAUAUUUUUAAUAUGAGUGUGGCUGUUAAUAUGUUUUAUAUUGUUUUAUUUUUGCAGAUGAGGACUUCAACUGUUAUUUUAUGUAAGUGUCACGGAACGUUUUGCUUAUUUUCAGCGUUGUUAAAAAUUGCAGUCAAUUUAUAUGUUAGGCCCUUCUGGCGUUAGACAGUAAAAUAAUCUGGCGUUAGACUGAGUAAAAAUAAUGGAGUAGGGUGCAUUGCCACCUAAAGGGUUUCCAUUAUUUUAUUCAGUCUAAUGCCAGACGAUUUUACUCGUUGGGGAGAGUACUGCCACUCAUUAGGUUAAUAUGAGCUGGGCUGGCCCGACAGGGCUAGAUUGCUUUUCUGGGCCAAGUUGUCACUUGGCUCACAUUCUGAGUAGCAUUGUACAUGUUUUCAAGUAUAGUUUUGAAUGUAUCUUAAAAAACGAACCUCCUUGUUUGGCUGGUUUUCAGUUUCUUACAAGAACUGUCUUGCCCUAAAACAACAAUAUCUUUUCCAUUUAUAGGUUUUGUGGUCUGUAUGGUAGCAUAUGUACAUGCACAAGCACCAGCAAAUACUACUCAAGGUAUUUUAGUUUACUUAAUUUGAUUUUAUCUUUUGAUGGUACCCAGCCAGCCUGACAAUUCAGUCCCGCUAUGCAAAUAUUGGCC